AUUGAACGCUGGCGGCAGGCCUAACACAUGCAAGUCGAACGGGUGGGGGGAGGGAGAGUAAUGUCUGGGAAUCUGACUGGGGGAGAGGGAUAGGUACUGGGCACGGAAGCUACUACCGUCUAGCAUAAGCUGUGCCGAAAUGGGAUUAGGGAGUUGGUGGGGUAACGGCUCACCAAGGCGACGAUCCCUAGCUGGGCUGAGAGGAUGACCAGCCACACUGGAACUGAGACACGGUCCAGACUCCUACGGGAGGCAGCAGUGGGGAAUAUUGGACAAUGGGCGAAAGCCUGAUGCAGCCAUGCCGCGUGUAUGAAGAAGGCCUUCGGGUUGUAAAGUACUUUCAGCGGGGAGGCGUUACCCGCAGAAGAAGCACCGGCUAACUCCGUGCCAGCAGCCGCGGUAAUUC
rnacentral:rRNA from 1 species